rnacentral:lncRNA from 1 species
GCUCAGAAGCUGAGUUUUCAGGGCGACAGGUCCCCAUGGGCUGCAGUGUCCUCUCAUGUCCCCUGGUCCCCAAGGGCUGAGGUUCACCUGGAGGUGCCAGGUCCUGCUUCCAUUCCCUCCUUCACUUGUUGCUAGUCUCCAACACCACAAGACUCCAUCAGCAGUGUCCCAGGCUUUCCACAGGUGCCACCAACCCACUGGGAGCUCAGCUGAGUGCCAGUGCCACGGGGGGUGGGGGGGGUGGCUUUUGGCCAGAAGGAAGGAGAUGCUUCUCACUUUGUGUCCUUGCAGCAGAGACAGCCCAGAGAAGGCUGCAAUGCAAGGCUCAGCUUAAUGCAGCAGGCCCCUCACAAACACCCCUCUGGGAGCACAACCACAGGAGGAGGGAGGCAGGACAAGCACAGCCAGCUGAGGGGGGCUCAGGCAGAGCAGCCCCAGGGAAUCCUGGCACAGGGUCAGCACAACCACCAGGGCUGUCUCAUGGGGUGUGAGGGCACGGUCCUCUCCUGCCUUGGUGGGCAGUGUGCACGUCUGGGCAUCACCCUCUUCUCCAGCCAAUCUGCUAUUCUCAGCUCCAUGCUUAAAAACUCCUUAGCUUUACCUGGUGAGCAAGGAAUAGUCAGCAUCUCUUCCCAACAUUUAUAACAAGAGCUCAAAGGUUUUAUUGAAACUUGUUUUCCCAUAUGCCUUUCUCCUCAUCAGGCUUCUGGCUCGGGACACUUGGACCAAGAGCAGCUUGUCCAAGCCAGGGAAUGCAGUGAGACACCCACAAAGCUCAGGCCCACCACCCUAACCAGAACCCAUUGAGCUUUCACCAAUGGGUUUUUACCAAUCAGACAGCUUUUCACUGUCUGAUGAAAAUGAAAGAUUAAUGUAUGUCCUGAAAGUCAGAUGAUCUGAGUAAAAUUAAAUCCUGAUGAAAAUCAAAGCUUGGUAAAAAUUAAAGCCUGAAGUCCAAAGUGAUCCAGUGAUUUUUACCAGGAGUACGGCUUUCCUUGGUUAGUUUAUAGCUGUGAGGAAAGACAGAGACAUUUUAUCACAGCUUGCAUUAAACCCCUCUGAUGCCUUGCCUGGGAGAGUGGAAGUGGCCUGGAAGCUGUGCACCUGUCAGCAGGAAAACAAGCUGGAGGAAAAAUGCUCCCAAAUCCCAGAAAGCCCUGGAGCCUCCUGGGCUGGUGUCCCCAACAGGGGCAGCUGGCUGUCCUCAGCCAAGGAAACACUGGGAUUCCACUGGAUUUAUUGUACCUAUCCAUUGCAUCACACAAAGGAUCUGAGGACACCUGGCUAAUUUUUUCACCCCAAGUUCUUGAUACACAAAUAAACACACUUCCCCCUUUUCUUUGUCCA